UACGUAGGGGGCGAGCGUUGUCCGGAAUUAUUGGGCGUAAAGAGCUCGUAGGCGGUGUGUCACGUCGGCCGUGAAAACCUGCAGCUUAACUGUGGGCUUGCGGUCGAUACGGGCAUCACUGGAGUUCGGCAGGGGAGACUGGAAUUCCUGGUGUAGCGGUGAAAUGCGCAGAUAUCAGGAGGAACACCGGUGGCGAAGGCGGGUCUCUGGGCCGAUACUGACGCUGAGGAGCGAAAGCGUGGGGAGCGAACAGG
rnacentral:rRNA from 1 species